GAACGCGUCUCCGUUGAUGAUUUUAGGUGCUUGCACUUGAAAGCUUUAACAUUGAGACGAGUGGCGAACUGGUGAGUAACACGUGCGUAACCUGCCCUUGAAGUAGGGGAUAACACUUGGAAACAGGUGCUAAUACCGUAUAACAACCAAAACCACCUGGUUUUGGUUUAAAAGACGGCUUCGGCUGUCACUUUAGGAUGGACCCGCGGCGUAUUAGCUUGUUGGUAAGGUAACGGCCUACCAAGGCGAUGAUACGUAGCCGACCUGAGAGGGUAAUCGGCCACAUUGGGACUGAGACACGGCCCAAACUCCUACGGGAGGCAGCAGUAGGGAAUCUUCCACAAUGGACGAAAGUCUGAUGGAGCAACGCCGCGUGAGUGAUGAAGGGUUUCGGCUCGUAAAACUCUGUUGUUGGAGAAGAACAGGUGUCAGAGUAACUGUUGACAUCUUGACGGUAUCCAACCAGAAAGCCACGGCUAACUACGUGCCAGCAGCCGCGGUAAUACGUAGGUGGCAAGCGUUGUCCGGAUUUAUUGGGCGUAAAGCGAGCGCAGGCGGUUUUUUAGGUCUGAUGUGAAAGCCUUCGGCUUAACCGGAGAAGUGCAUCGGAAACCGGGAGACUUGAGUGCAGAAGAGGACAGUGGAACUCCAUGUGUAGCGGUGAAAUGCGUAGAUAUAUGGAAGAACACCAGUGGCGAAGGCGGCUGUCUGGUCUGUAACUGACGCUGAGGCUCGAAAGCAUGGGUAGCGAACAGGAUUAGAUACCCUGGUAGUCCAUGCCGUAAACGAUGAGUGCUAAGUGUUGGAGGGUUUCCGCCCUUCAGUGCUGCAGCUAACGCAUUA
rnacentral:rRNA from 1 species